rnacentral:rRNA from 1 species
UACGUAGGGGGCGAGCGUUGUCCGGAAUGAUUGGGAGUAAAGGGCGCGUAGGCGGCUUGUUAAGUCUGGAGUGGAAGUCCUCUUUUCAAGGGAGGAAUUGCUUUGGAAACUGGCGGGCUUGAGUGCAGGAGAGGUUAUCGGAAUUCCCGGUGUAGCGGUGAAAUGCGUAGAGAUCGGGAGGAACACCAGUGGCGAAGGCGGGUAACUGGACUGCAACUGACGCUGAGGCGCGAAAGUGUGGGGAGCAAACAGGAUUAGAUACCCCUGUAGUCCCUGAG